rnacentral:lncRNA from 1 species
UCGCAAAUAAAAAAUUAAUCAAACUAUAAUUAAGCUCCUUGCACAUAACCUUGUAUGGUGGCGAUUCUAGAAGCACUCCUUUAGAAGUCAUGGCUCUGGGAACAUAUAUAGCUCUAUUUUGCGAAAAGGUUUCUUAAGAUGCCAUCACUACAAUUGAAAUAUCGAUUUUCAGAGAUGAGUCAUGGCUGUAGGUCAAUGAUCACAUUCACCAUUUCAAUACACAGUAGCGCCAUUCUGUUUGGACAACAUACUGAAUGCAUCCAUACUCUGUAUAUAAUGCCUCACCUAUACUAAAAAUAAAUAUGCAACAGCUGUCUGGAAAACAGGGGUAAAAAUGACCUCUUUCUUUGCUGGCCAAGAUAUAUCAAGGCACUCAUUCUUCAGAGGAACACUAUAAUCGGAAUGAAGUACUUUUGCUCUAUCCACAUUGUUUUCUCGGACAGAAGAAAUGCAUUGAGGCAGGGAGCUGAUGGAAAUGAGAGGUAUCGGAAAACAUAAUAUAACACUGACCUAUUCACCACCAGUGUGUUUUAGGUGUCCGCAAGAGACACUUGAGCAUAUCCAGAAGGUCAUCAUGUGAAUAUUAUACUAUGAAGUUCCAAGAAGGGUCAAUGGGAAUUAAUCUUCUUUAUGCAAAUGUCAUGAUUUUUCAAAUUAUUAGUGCUAAAUUUUUUCAUAUGUGUCCGAGAUAAAUACCAGAU